rnacentral:rRNA from 1 species
CCCGCUGAACUUAAGCAUAUCAAUAAGCGGAGGAAAAGAAACUAACAAGGAUUCCCCUAGUAACUGCGAGUGAAGAGGGAAGAGCUCAAAUUUAAAAUCUGGCUGUCUCUGGCAGUCCGAGUUGUAGUUUAGAGAAGUGUUAUCCGCGCUGGCCUGUGCAUAAGUUUCUUGGAAAAGAACAUCAUAGAGGGUGACAAUCCCGUCUUUGGCACAGAUUACCGGGGCUUUUGUGAUACGCUCUCAACGAGUCGCGUUGUUUGGGAAUGCAGCGCUAAAUGGGUGGUAAAUUCCAUCUAAAGCUAAAUAUUGGCGAGAGACCGAUAGCGAACAAGUACCGUGAGGGAAAGAUGAAAAGCACUUUGGAAAGAGAGUCAAACAGUACGUGAAAUUGUUGAAAGGGAAGCGCUUGAAGUCAGUCGCGUCUGCCAGGACUCAGCCGUUGCCCCUAGCUCGGCGCACUUCCUGGUGGACGGGCCAGCAUCGAUUUUGACCAUAGGAAAAAGGCCCAUGGGAAGGUGGCACCUCCGGGUGUGUUAUAGCCCUGGGUCAUAUACUCUGGUUGGGAUCGAGGAACUCAGCACGCCCUUGUGGUCGGGGAGCAAUCCCACGUAUCGUGCUUAGGAUGCUGGCGUAAUGGCUUUAAGCGACCCGUCUUGAAACACGG